AGCAGUAGCAUCACAUAUGCUUGGGGAGACUGAGUAGAACAUCUCCUGUGACGUGCCUCACCCCAUCUUUCCACCCAAAAUUGAAGACAAUCUGAUAUGCUGAUGAUGGCUACACGUAGAGUGCCUGGAUUCAUCUGCAUUGAAACUCCUUGAGAAUUUUGAUAGGUUGAGCCAAAACAGAAUAAUGAAAUGAACCCUUCUAGGCAGGAAGGCAGAAACAGACAUAAAAGAUGAUUUCUCUGUGUUAUCUGGCCUUUAUGGAAAGAACCAUGAUGAGCUUCCAGAAAAUGCAUUAUUGAUGUGAUGUAAUAAGGCAGGGGUUUUAACAUCUUCAUCCUGGAAAAUUGGAGUCCUUCCCAUGGAAUGUGUGUGUUGAGCUUAGCAGAGACAGCCCUUUCCACUCUGGAGGUAAGACUGGGAAAAUUUGAGUCCAGAGCCCUCUGCUGCCUCUGGGCCCACUGCCUGUCCAAACACACCUGCAGGAGGAGAGAAGGACCUUGUUACAAACAAGAGAAGAGGAGAUCAAAGCAGCUGCAUCAUCUCAUUAACCUUCACCCCCAGAGAAGAUGGCAAGGAAAACUUAGAAACAAACAAAAUCAAGCCACUCUUCCUGCCUUCAGUGGAGCUUCAAACCAGAGGAUGUUACCUGGAACACACUGGAGAGUCAUAACCUUGGAGCACUGGCAGCAAUUGGUGUCAACAAAGAUAAUGAAAAAUGAACUGGGAUUCCAACAUCUGUGAACCAGGUCUCCCCUGGAGCUGACAUGGAAGUUGGAGACAGGUAGACAACGCCUGGUCUUUUCAAGGUGCUGAGCUAAAAAGUCUUCAUAGACAUCAGUAUCAUUGCAUGUAUUUUCUUCUGGAAACA
rnacentral:lncRNA from 1 species